rnacentral:rRNA from 1 species
AAUUUUGGACAAUGGGCGCAAGCCUGAUCCAGCCAUGCCGCGUGAGUGAAGAAGGUCUUCGGGUUGUAAAGCACUUUCGGCCGGGAAGAAAUCGCGCUGGCUAAUAUCCUGCGCGGAUGACGGUACCGUCAUAACAAUCACGGGCUAACUACGUUCCAGCAUCCGCGGUAAUGCGGAGGGUGCGAGCGAUAAUCGGAAGUACUGGGCGUAAGGCGUGCGCAGGCGGUAGGUUAAGACUGUCGUGAAAUCCACGGGAUUAACCAGGGAACGACGUGUGUGACUGGUCAGCUAGAGGACGGCAGAGGGGGGAGGAAGUCCACGUGUAGCAGUGAAAUGCGUAGAGAUGUGGAGGAACACCGAUAGCGAAGGCAGCCCCCUGGGCCGAAACUGACGCUCAUGCACGAAAGCGUGGGUAGCAAGCAGG